UGUUGUGUGGCGGAGGAAGAGGACCUGCUGCUCCUCUCUGCUCCCACGACCUAGUGUUAGUGUGUGUUAAUGGUCGCCGUACUCGCGUGUGCUAGGUACUCCACUACACCUGCCCUUCAGUCUCCUCAAUCAACGGAGGCAACCAUAUCGCAGAGACGAACCCAGGCUUACCAACACAAGGGGUAACUCCAGGCCUACCAACACAAGGGGCGACUCUAGGCCUACCAACACAAGGGGCGACUCUAGGCCUACCAACACAAGGGGUGAUUACAGGCCUACCAACCCUUACAUCAGUUGUGCAGUAGAAUGUAUAAGAGAAGACAGACUCCCAGCGGUACCAACCGUAAUGUAAAUACUGAAAGGCCCCACAACCUUGAAGGUCCCCAGGCAUACCAACCUUAAGGAAGAGUUCUAGACUUACCAAGGAAAUAAGCAGACUCAGGACUACCAAUCACAGGGAGAGAUUGAAGGAUCAGGCCUACCAAUACCAGAUAUAUUAAUAAAUUCCCAGACUACCAAUAUUAAUGUCUAGAAAAUCAUCAGUUUCGUCCACUAUCAAAUGAAAAUACCUAAAAUAAUAGUGAAUAAAAAUAACUUACAUAGAGAUAAAAGAUAUUAACAAACUGAGUUGAAAAUCUCCGGUAAAGAAAGAAAACGUAAACAAACAGAGCUACAACA